rnacentral:lncRNA from 1 species
CUUUGCCCAACAACAAACUAGUAUGGAAACAGAGGCCAGAUGGCUUUGACCAACACCAAACUGGUAUUGAAACAGAGGCCAGAUGGCUUUGACCAACACCAAACUAGUAUUGAAACAGAGGCCAGAUGGCUUUGACCAACAACAAACUGGUAUGGAAACAGAGGCCAGAUGGCUUUGCCCAACAACAAACUGGUAUGGAAACAGAGGCCAGAUGGCUUUACCCAGAUGGCUUUGCCCAACAACAAACUGGUAUUGAAACAGAGGCCAGAUGGCUUUACCCA